rnacentral:rRNA from 1 species
UACGAAGGGGGCGAGCGUUGUUCGGAAUUACUGGGCGUAAAGGGCGCGUAGGCGGCCGAGCAAGUUAGAUGUGAAAGUCCUGGGCUUAACCUGGCGACUGCAUUUGAUACUGCUUGGCUUGAAUUCGGGAGAGGAUAGCGGAAUUCCCAGUGUAGAGGUGAAAUUCGUAGAUAUUGGGAAGAACACCGGUGGCGAAGGCGGCUAUCUGGACCGACAUUGACGCUGAGGCGCGAAAGCGUGGGGAGCAAACAGG